UCGUAAAUCCACUAUAUCUCU
rnacentral:miRNA from 1 species